AUACGUAGGGAGCGAGCGUUGUCCGGAAUUACUGGGCGUAAAGGGCGCGUAGGCGGCGCUUCAAGUCGUCUGUCAAAUGGGAGGGCUUAACCCUUUUUCGCAGACGAAACUGGAGAGCUUGAGAAGCAGAGAGGCAAACAGAAUUCCUGGUGUAGCGGUGAAAUGCGUAGAUAUCAGGAAGAAUACCAGUGGCGAAGGCGGUUUGCUGGCUGCAUACUGACGCUGAAGCGCGAAAGCCAGGGGAGCAAACGGGAUUAGAUACCCCGGUAGUCCUGGCAGUAAACGAUGUAUGCUGGGUGUGGGAGUAGCGAUACCUCCGUGCCGAAGUUAACGCGAUAAGCAUACCGCCUGGGGAGUACGGUCGCAAGAUUGAAACUCAAAUGAAUUGGCGGGG
rnacentral:rRNA from 1 species